rnacentral:rRNA from 1 species
UACGUAGGCAGCGAGCGUUGUUCGGAGUUACUGGGCGUAAAGGGUGUGUAGGCGGUUCUUUAAGUUUGGUGUGAAUCUCCCGGCUCAACCGGGAGGGUGCGCCGAAUACUGAGGGACUCGAGUGCGGGAGAGGAAAGUGGAAUUCCUGGUGUAGCGGUGAAAUGCGUAGAUAUCUGGAGGAACACCGGUGGCGAAGGCGGCAUCCUGGACCGGUAUUGACGCUGAGGCGACGAAAGCCAGGGGAGCAAACGGG